AAAAGAAAUAAAAGAUAGAAAAAGAGAAAUGGAAACAGAAUAGGCAAACGAAAACAGGGAAGAAAGGAAAGAAAAAGAAAAAGGGAAGGAAAGAAAGAAAAUUUGGGGUUUCAAUGUUUCAAGCUCAAUUGCUAAUGUCGUGCAAGAGUCAUUGCCGAGAAAGGAAAGGGGAAGGUGAUCAAGGAGUGACUCGAGAAAAUUUACGGUUAGUAGAAAGCCAGUAUCCGGUCCAGUAUCCAGAGCAAUCCCGAACUCAGAGAAAUUUUAGUUAUGUACCUUUGUUUGAUAAUGUGGCAUGUACCUAGGUGAUGUAUAGGUUAAGAAUAAAAGUUUUGUUAUUACGGUUGUAGAAUGAUGUUUAAAUUGGUUAAGUAUGAAAUGGAACUAAUAUGACAUAUUUGAUACAA